CAGGAAAAAGGAAGAGAAACAGAUGACAGGGACAGUCAGAUCGUUUCUCUGUGCAGUGUCAGAUGACCUCAAUCAGAAUACCACAAAACCAUCUUGGAUGGCUUUUUCCUUUAGAAUUGUACUCAUAUCUCAGAUAUGGCAUCAAUUCAGGAGAAACAGGAGCUUCUCUGCCAGGAGCCCAAUUGAGGAACCUGAGUGCACCAAUCUCCUGUCCUUUGACCCAGACUCCUGCCUGUAG